rnacentral:lncRNA from 1 species
GCCCAAUUUAGAUAAUUUGAGAAUUAUAAUUAAUUCUAUUGGUAAUUAUAGUAAUCCAACAAUAUGUUGAGGGUUUGAAAAAAAUUUUAAAUAAUAUUUUUUUAGUUCUCCUCAUACAUCUUUAGUCGUGUGGGAAGAACUAAAGAAAAAUACUGUCAAAAUUUCUUUCAAUCUCUAUUGUAUAUCGUCGAUUAUUGUAAGUGACCUAUAAAAUUAAUAUAAUUUUUGAAUGAGAUAGGACCUAACUUUACCUAUUAGUUGGUGAUA